rnacentral:rRNA from 1 species
UAAAGAAAGCGUAAUAGCUCACUGGUCGAGUCGGCCUGCGCGGAAGAUGUAACGGGGCUAAACCAUGCACCGAAGCUGCGGCAGCGACGCUGAUGCGUUGUUGGGUAGGGGAGCGUUCUGUAAGCCUGUGAAGGUGUGUCGUGAGGCAUGCUGGAGGUAUCAGAAGUGCGAAUGCUGACAUAAGUAACGAUAAAGCGGGUGAAAAGCCCGCUCGCCGGAAGACCAA